AUUACUUCGCAUGCAAUAAGCAGCGGCUCAGAGCGCAGGCCCUAAGCUACAAGGCAAGCGGCCGUGACACUGAGAGCACAUCCCCCGGUGCCUGCAGCCUCGGCUUCUCCAUGGUAAAACCCCUGGAGAAAGGCAGUCCGGAGGGAAAAGGAUGUCCAAGUCCUGCUGUCCAGUGUCAUCACAUUCACAUCCUGCAGUGACCUGUGCACAACACACACUCUACGAUUCCAAAGGCCCGGAGAUGGGGAUGCCAGGAUUCACCAUGAGAGUAUGUUUUGCCAUUUGAAACACAAACUAUGAAAGAAGAGAAAAGGAAGAAGUAGUA